rnacentral:rRNA from 1 species
UACGGAGGAUGCAAGCGUUAUCCGGAUUUAUUGGGUUUAAAGGGUGCGCAGGCGGGAAUUUAAGUCAGCGGUGAAAUCUUAAGGCUCAACCUUAAAAUUGCCGUUGAAACUGAGUUUCUUGAGUGUGGAUGAAGUAGGCGGAAUUCGUUGUGUAGCGGUGAAAUGCAUAGAUAUAACGAGGAACUCCGAUUGCGUAGGCAGCUUACUAAACCAUUACUGACGCUCAGGCACGAAAGCGUGGGUAUCAAACAGG